UCAAAAAAGAUCGUAACACACUAAAAUAAGAACAAACGAUGUUGACGCCUGAUCCAGAACAACCGUUAAGUCCUCCCCAAUGAUGCUGCAACAGGGUUCUUUACAAAGGUUUAAAAAUGUAUUGCUCACAGAACCUCUCUAAAGACAAAUUGAAAUUAAGUAAGGUACCUAAUCAAUUAAAAUUUGUUUUAAAUACUUUUUAAAGUCUUAAUUAAACUGCUAAAGCCUUCAGAUAGCGUAAAUGGUGAAUAUUGUUAAUAUAAUAUGUUUAUUUGAACUCGAAGUUGUUUUUCCCCCGUUAACGCUAUUAACGUGUUAUUAUGCUAUUAUCAGCUACACAAUAAAAAGUCAAGUCAUUUUAAUAAUGAAAAUUAAAAAAUAAUAAAAACAGUUAAUCAAUAUUA